CAAAGAGUGAGUCACGGGUCAGACACUGCCUCAAAUGACGCAUUCACACGGUAUUUGUAGCAUUUGUAUUGUCCAUGCGUUUCCUAAGGAAAAAGAUGAGAGAGAGUGGGCAUGAUAGAAAUAAGGAAAAGCAAAGGAAAUAAACUUAAAGAAAUUACACACAGAGAAGCAGAUGCGGAGGUAGAGUAUGUCUGUCGGGUUCAUCUGAACCCAAUAUUUUUGUUGCGGUUAAAAAAACUAUCACUAAAUUAAAAAAAAAAAAAGGAAAGAAAGAAAAAUAACGACAUAUAAGAAAUGAGAAAGAUAAUUUUUUAAAUUAAUAUGGAUGUAAAAGAUAAUUCUACAUAUUGAUAAAUCAUAUACUUAGCAUUUUAAUUAGAAUUAGAUUUUAGGUUACUGCAUUUUUUCCUGAUUUUGUUUUUAAAAGAAAAGAGAAGAGAAAGAGUUUUUAAGAACAAAAUUUCACUUACAUAUAUUAUAAUAAAUGAAGAGAAAGUGAGAGGUUGAUACAUGACUUUUUAAGUACAAUUAUAUGUUAGAGGCAUGUAAAUCGAUUAUUUUUUCAUUAGAUAGUAAAACAUCGACUUUGCUAAAAUUUCUCAUAUUCAAAUAACAGAAAUAUGAAAUAAAAGUAAAGCAACUACUAAUGAAAAGAAAAUAAAAUAAAACAAAAAAAAUAUGUGAAAAUUGUAACGUCGUGCUACGCCCGGCCCCCUUUUCAGUAGAUGAGAUUAGGAUGAAAGGGCUUUCUUUCAUUAACAUGCAGUGAAGGUGCAUAGCUUCUUUGAAUGUCCUGCUGAUUGACUACUACAUUUAGGGACGAGACUGAUCCUGAAAGAGAGCUGUUCUGGCUUAUUAGGUUUCAAGAAUCCAAAGGAUACAAGCUUCUCAAGGCUGAGUCGGAAAGCUUUGUUUGUAGAGUCUCUUUCAGUUCAAGUCUUGAAUCAUUUGAUUAUUCUUUUUUCUAUUCCUUCUUGUUAUGCCAUUUUUAGCCUUCAUCUUUGUCUUUUCUUUUCUAUUCAUUAGUUUCCCUCUCAUAUUCUCCAUUCCAAGGAGAACGGAAUACGUCACUUCAGAAUACUUGCUCAA